rnacentral:rRNA from 1 species
UACAGGGGGUGCAAACGUUGCUCGGAAUUAUUGGGCGUAAAGCGCGCGUAGGCGGCUACCUAAGUCGGAUGUGAAAGCCCCUGGCUUAACUGGGGAAGUGCACCCGAAACUGAGUAGCUAGAGUGCGAAAGAGGGUCGCGGAAUUCCCGGUGUUGAGGUGAAAUUCGUAGAUAUCGGGAGGAACACCGGUGGCGAAGGCGGCGACCUGGGUCGACACUGACGCUGAGGCGCGAAAGCGUGGGGAGCAAACAGG